ACCAAGGUGAGGCCCUAUGGGUUUCGCCAUUGGAAUGAGAACAAUAUAAAUCUAUUAACGAGUAACAAGUGGAGGGCAAGUCUGGUGCCAGCAGCCGCGGUAAUUCCAGCUCCACAAGUGUAUUCCUAUAUUGUUGCGGUUAAAAAGCUCGUAGUUGGAUCUGAGUGCUUAGCGGGUGGUACAGUGUUUCACUGUCACUGCUUCGCGGCACAUAACCGUCGACUGGCUGCUGUUGUUGCCUUCACCGGUGACGGCAGUUAGCUAUCGACAUGUUUACUUUGAACAAAUCAGAGUGCUCAAAACAGGCGUUUCGCUUGUAUGUUUUUGCAUGGAAUAAUAGAAUAGGACCUUGGGUCUAUUUUGUUGGUUUUCGGAAUCAUGGUAAUGAUUAAGAGGGACAGACGGGGGCAUUCGUACUGCAACGGGAGAGGUGAAAUUCUUGGAUCGUUGCAAGACGAACUACUGCGAAAGCAUUUGCCAAGAAUGUUUUCAUUAAUCAAGAACGAAAGUAACGGGUUCGAAGGCGAUCAGAUACCGCCCUAGUCGUUACCGUAAACGAUUGUAACCGGGAGCUAGCAGGCGCUUUACUAUGGCUCUGCUAGAACCCACCCGGAAACGAAGAGUUUUCGAUAUCCGGGGGAAGUAUACUUGCAAAUGUGAAACUUAAAGGAAUUGACGGAAGGGCACCACCAGGGGUGGAGCCUGCGGCUUAAUUUGACCCAACACGGGGAAACUCAUCCGGUCCGGACACCGUAAGGAUUGACAGAUUGAGAGCUCUUUCUUGAUUUGGUGGGCAGUGGUGCAUGGCCGUUCUUAGUUGGUGGAGCGAUUUGUCUGGUUUAUUCCGAUAACGAACGAGACUCUAGCCUACUAACUAGUUAUGCGAUCUUCUUGUCGUAUUAACUUCUUAGAGGGACAAGCGGUGCUCAGCCGCAUGAAAAAGAGCAAUAACAGGUCUGUGAUGCCCUUCGAUGUUCGGAGCUGCACGCGCGCUACACUGUAGAAUGCAACGUGCUAGCUUGCCUCGCUCGCAAGAGUGGGGUAAUCGGUUGAAAUUUCUACGUGAUUGGGAUAGGGACUUGUAAUUAUUUCCCUUGAACGAGGAAUCCCUAGUAAGUGCAGGUCAUCAGCUUGUGCUGAUUACGUCCCUGCCCUUUGUACACACCGCCCGUCGCUGCCCGGAACUGAGCCAUUUCGAGAAAAAUGGGGACUGAUUGCUUGUGAGCACGCAAGUGCUUCUUGCAGUCGGAAACCAUCU
rnacentral:rRNA from 1 species